GGCGAACGGGUGAGUAACACGUGAGCAACCUACCCUCAACUUCGGGAUAAGCCUCGGAAACGGGGUCUAAUACCGGAUAUCACUCUUGGUUUCAUGACCGGGGGUUGAAAGUUCUGGCGGUUGGGGAUGGGCUCGCGGCCUAUCAGCUUGUUGGUGGGGUAAUGGCCUACCAAGGCGUCGACGGGUAGCCGGCCUGAGAGGGCGACCGGCCACACUGGGACUGAGACACGGCCCAGACUCCUACGGGAGGCAGCAGUGGGGAAUAUUGCGCAAUGGGCGAAAGCCUGACGCAGCAACGCCGCGUGAGGGAUGACGGCCUUCGGGUUGUAAACCUCUUUCAGCAGGGACGAAGCGAGAGUGACGGUACCUGCAGAAGAAGGACCGGCCAACUACGUGCCAGCAGCCGCGGUAAUACGUAGGGUCCGAGCGUUGUCCGGAAUUAUUGGGCGUAAAGGGCUCGUAGGCGGUUCGUCACGUCGGGAGUGAAAACUCGGAGCUUAACUCCGAGCCUGCUUCCGAUACGGGCAGACUAGAGGUAGGCAGGGGAGAGCGGAACUCCUGGUGUAGCGGUGGAAUGCGCAGAUAUCAGGAAGAACACCGGUGGCGAAGGCGGCUCUCUGGGCCUUACCUGACGCUGAGGAGCGAAAGCGUGGGUAGCGAACAGGAUUAGAUACCCUGGUAGUCCACGCCGUAAACGUUGGGCGCUAGGUGUGGGGGACAUUCCACGUCCUCCGUGCCGCAGCUAACGCAUUAAGCGCCCCGCCUGGGGAGUACGGCCGCAAGGCUAAAACUCAAAGGAAUUGACGGGGGCCCGCACAAGCGGCGGAGCAUGCGGAUUAAUUCGAUGCAACGCGAAGAACCUUACCUGGGUUUGACAUAUAGGGAAAUCUCACAGAGAUGUGAGGUCCGUAAGGGUCCUAUACAGGUGGUGCAUGGCUGUCGUCAGCUCGUGUCGUGAGAUGUUGGGUUAAGUCCCGCAACGAGCGCAACCCUCGUCCUAUGUUGCCAGCACGUUAUGGUGGGGACUCAUAGGAGACUGCCGGGGUCAACUCGGAGGAAGGUGGGGAUGACGUCAAGUCAUCAUGCCCCUUAUGUCCAGGGCUUCACGCAUGCUACAAUGGCCGGUACAAAGGGCUGCGAAACCGCAAGGUGGAGCGAAUCCCAAAAAGCCGGUCUCAGUUCGGAUUGGGGUCUGCAACUCGACCCCAUGAAGUCGGAGUCGCUAGUAAUCGCAGAUCAGCAACGCUGCGGUGAAUACGUUCCCGGGCCUUGUACACACCGCCCGUCACGUCAUGAAAGUCGGCAACACC
rnacentral:rRNA from 1 species